GAUGAACGCUGGCGGCGUGCCUAAUACAUGCAAGUCGAGCGAACAGACGAGGAGCUUGCUCCUCUGACGUUAGCGGCGGACGGGUGAGUAACACGUGGAUAACCUACCUAUAAGACUGGGAUAACUUCGGGAAACCGGAGCUAAUACCGGAUAAUAUAUUGAACCGCAUAGUUCAAUAGUGAAAGACGGUUUUGCUGUCACUUAUAGAUGGAUCCGCGCCGCAUUAGCUAGUUGGUAAGGUAACGGCUUACCAAGGCGACGAUGCGUAGCCGACCUGAGAGGGUGAUCGGCCACACUGGAACUGAGACACGGUCCAGACUCCUACGGGAGGCAGCAGUAGGGAAUCUUCCGCAAUGGGCGAAAGCCUGACGGAGCAACGCCGCGUGAGUGAUGAAGGUCUUCGGAUCGUAAAGCUCUGUUAUUAGGGAAGAACAAAUGUGUAAGUAACUAUGCACGUCUUGACGGUACCUAAUCAGAAAGCCACGGCUAACUACGUG
rnacentral:rRNA from 1 species